rnacentral:rRNA from 1 species
UACGAAGGGGGCUAGCGUUGCUCGGAAUCACUGGGCGUAAAGGGUGCGUAGGCGGGAUCUUAAGUCAGAGGUGAAAGCCUGGAGCUCAACUCCAGAACUGCCUUUGAUACUGGGAUUCUUGAGUUCGGGAGAGGUGAGCGGAACUGCGAGUGUAGAGGUGAAAUUCGUAGAUAUUCGCAAGAACACCAGUGGCGAAGGCGGCUCACUGGCCCGAUACUGACGCUGAGGCACGAAAGCGUGGGGAGCAAACAGG